AUACGUAGGGUGCAAGCGUUAAUCGGAAUUACUGGGCGUAAAGCGUGCGCAGGCGGUUUUGUAAGACAGUGGUGAAAACCCCGGGCUCAACCUGGGAACUGGCAUUGUGACUGCAAGGCUGGAGUGCGGCAGAGGGGGAUGGAAUUCCGCGUGUAGCCGUGAAAUGCGUAGAUAUGCGGAGGAACACCGAUGGCGAAGGCAAUCCCCUGGGCCUGCACUGACGCUCAUGCACGAAAGCGUGGGGAGCAAACAGGAUUAGAUACCCUGGUAGUCCACGCCCUAAACGAUGUCAACUGGUUGUUGGGGAUUUAUUUUCUCAGUAACGAAGCUAACGCGUGAAGUUGACCGCCUGGGGAGUACGGCCGCAAGGUUAAAACUCAAAGGAAUUGACGGGG
rnacentral:rRNA from 1 species